rnacentral:snoRNA from 1 species
CCUCGCGAGUGGGAGCGCGGCCGGGGUUAAGGACGGAGCUGUUUGGUGCGGUGCUGCUGCGUGCGUGGUGCGCGUGGCUGAGUGUGAGUGUGGGUGUGAGAGUGUCUGUGCGUGCGUGGGGCGUGCGAGGCGAGUGUGUGUGUGUCCGCCCCGCGCCCCUCCCCCGCCUACACCUUGAUCUUAUUUGAUCGGGUCGUGACCCCCGCCCCGCCGGGCCGACCCGAGAUGAAAAGCAGCCCUCCUGCGAAGCCCCCUCCGCGGGGCGCUGUGCAGCGAGGCCCCCUGGGCGGUGGCGGUGCCGCGGUUCCCGAGGUCUCGGGAUCGGUCCUGCGGGCCCGGCGCUCAGAAGUGAUGAAUUGAUCAGAUAGACGAGGCCGGGUCUGUCCCGGCCGCUGAUUACCGAGGCGAUUCUGAUCUGA